UCCGACCGUAUCAUGUUGAAACACCGGUUCCCGUACGAUCGCCGAAGUUAAGCAAUGUUGAACCUGGUCAGUAUUGAAAUGGAUGAUUGCUUAGG